CCUACGGGUGGCAGCAGUGGGGAAUAUUGGACAAUGGGCGAAAGCCUGAUCCAGCCAUGCCGCGUGUGUGAAGAAGGCCUUCGGGUUGUAAAGCACUUUCAGUGGGGAAGAAAGCCUUGGGGCUAAUACCCUCGAGGAAGGACAUCACCCACAGAAGAAGCACCGGCUAACUCCGUGCCAGCAGCCGCGGUAAUACGGAGGGUGCGAGCGUUAAUCGGAAUUACUGGGCGUAAAGCGCGCGUAGGCGGUCUGAUAAGCCGGUUGUGAAAGCCCCGGGCUCAACCUGGGAACGGCAUCCGGAACUGUCAGGCUAGAGUGCAGGUGAGGAAGGUAGAAUUCCCGGUGUAGCAGUGAAAUGCGUAGAGAUCGGGAGGAAUACCAGUGGCGAAGGCGGCCUUCUGGACUGACACUGACGCUGAGGUGCGAAAGCGUGGGUAGCAAACAGGAUUAGAUACCCGAGUAGUC
rnacentral:rRNA from 1 species